CCUACGGGAGACAGCAGUGAGGAAUAUUGGUCAAUGGACGAGAGUCUGAACCAGCCAAGCAGCGUGAAGGAUGACUGCCCUAUUGGUUGUAAACUUCUUUUAUAUGGGAAUAAAACGUUCCACGUGUGGGAUUUUGUAUGUACCAUAUGAAUAAGGAUCGGCUAACUCCGUGCCAGCAGCCGCGGUAAUACGGAGGAUCCGAGCGUUAUCCGGAUUUAUUGGGUUUAAAGGGAGCGUAGGCGGAUUGUUAAGUCAGUUGUGAAAGUUUGCGGCUCAACCGUAAAAUUGCAGUUGAAACUGGCAGUCUUGAGUACAGUAGAGGUGUGCGGAAUUCGUGGUGUAGCGGUGAAAUGCUUAGAUAUCACGAAGAACUCCGAUUGCGAAGGCAGUUCACUGGACUGCAACUGACACUGAGGCUCGAAAGUGUGGGUAUCAAACAGGAUUAGAUACCCUAGUAGUC
rnacentral:rRNA from 1 species